GCCCAUUUCUAUGGAUAAUUAGACAAGAUGUAGUAAUGGGUGAUUCUGCAAUUUUGCCUGAAGAAUUUCUUGAGCACAUCAAUGAUAGAGGACUGCUAGCAAGUUGGUGUCCACAAGAUCAAGUGCUUGCACAUCCUGCAGUUGGUGUUUUCCUAACGCAUUGCGGAUGGAAUUCUAUGAUGGAAACUGUUAGUCACGGCGUGCCAAUAGUCUGUUGGCCUUUCUUCGCCGAUCAACAUACAAAUUGCCGAUAUGCAUGCUCUAAAUGGGGGAUUGGCAUGGAGGUCAAUCACAAUAUAAAUAGGAAUGAAAUUGAAGGUAUAGUUAAGGAAAUGAUAGAAGGGCACAAGGGAAAGCAACUGAGGGAGAAGGCACUAGAAUGGAAAAGGAAAGCAGAAGCAGCUACAGAUAUUGGAGGAUCAUCUUACAAUAACUUCAGUAGACUCAUUAAGGAAGCUCUCAAUUGUGGUGGCCAUGCAAAGCAGGAGUAUUGAAAUGAGGGACAAUAUUUCAGUUUCAGCUUCAAGUUUCUUUGUGAAUAAAUGUUCUUAGUUUCAUUUUCAGUAUAAAAGCAUCAUUUCAAGCCUGA
rnacentral:misc_RNA from 1 species